rnacentral:rRNA from 1 species
AACGAACGCUGGCGGCAUGCCUAACACAUGCAAGUCGAACGAGACAUUCGGGCUUAGUGGUGCAUGGAUCCGUAACCGGUGGAAACCUGCCUAUAGGUUCGGCUUGACUCAGAGAAUUUCGUCCUAAAACCGGCGCUUGUCUCCCGUCCAAAGAUUUAUCGACUUUAGAUGGUCCCGCGAUGGAUUAGUUAGAUGGUGGGGUAAAGGCCUAUCACUGGGACGAUCCAUAGCUGGUUUGAGAGGAUGCGCAGCCACACUGGGACUGAGACACGGCCCAGACUCCUACGGGAGGCAGCAGUGGGGAAUAUUGGACAAUGGGCGAAAGCCUGAUCCAGCAAUGCCGCGUGAGUGAUGAAGGCCUUAGGGUUGUAAAGCUCUUUUACCCGAGAUGAUAAUGACAGUAUCGGGAGAAUAAGCUCCGGCUAACUCCGUG